rnacentral:miRNA from 1 species
UGUUCAAUAGAAUUUGUUUGUU